GGAACGAUGGGAGCUUGCUCCCAGGCGUCGAGCGGCGGACGGGUGAGUAACACGUGGGAAUCUGCCCAUUAGUGGGGGAUAACUCGGGGAAACUCGAGCUAAUACCGCAUAAUCCCUACGGGGGAAAGCAGGGGAUCUUCGGACCUUGCGCUGAUGGAUGAGCCCGCGUCGGAUUAGCUUGUUGGUGGGGUAAUGGCCCACCAAGGCGACGAUCCGUAACUGGUCUGAGAGGAUGGCCAGUCACACCGGGACUGAGACACGGCCCGGACUCCUACGGGAGGCAGCAGUGGGGAAUCUUGGACAAUGGGCGCAAGCCUGAUCCAGCCAUGCCGCGUGUGUGAAGAAGGCCUUCGGGUUGUAAAGCACUUUCAGUAGGGAGGAAGGCUUUGGGCUAAUACCCUGGAGUACUUGACGUUACCUACAGAAGAAGCACCGGCUAAUUUCGUGCCAGCAGCCGCGGUAAUACGAAAGGUGCGAGCGUUAAUCGGAAUUACUGGGCGUAAAGCGCGCGUAGGCGGUGUGUUAAGUCGGAUGUGAAAGCCCAGGGCUCAACCUUGGAAUUGCAUCCGAUACUGGCACGCUAGAGUGCAGUAGAGGGAGGUGGAAUUUCCGGUGUAGCGGUGAAAUGCGUAGAGAUCGGAAGGAACACCAGUGGCGAAAGCGGCCUCCUGGACUGACACUGACGCUGACGUGCGAAAGCGUGGGGAGCAAACAGGAUUACAUACCCUGGUAGUCCACGCCGUAAACGAUGUCUACUAGCCGUUGGGGUCCUUAGUGACUUUGGUGGCGCAUCUAACGCG
rnacentral:rRNA from 1 species